AUUGAACGCUGGCGGCAUGCCUUACACAUGCCAGUCGAACGGUAACGGGCCUUCGGGUGCCGACGAGUGGCGAACGGGUGAGUAAUACAUCGGAACGUGCCCGAUCGUGGGGGAUAACGAGGCGAAAGCUUUGCUAAUACCGCAUACGGUCUACGGAUGAAAGCAGGGGACCGCAAGGCCUUGCGCGGACGGAGCGGCCGAUGGCAGAUUAGGUAGUUGGUGGGAUAAAAGCUUACCAAGCCGACGAUCUGUAGCUGGUCUGAGAGGAUGAUCAGCCACACUGGGACUGAGACACGGCCCAGACUCCUACGGGAGGCAGCAGUGGGGAAUUUUGGACAAUGGGCGCAAGCCUGAUCCAGCCAUGCCGCGUGCAGGAUGAAGGCCUUCGGGUUGUAAACUGCUUUUGUACGGAACGAAAAGCCUUCUUUUAAUACAGGAGGGUCAUGACGGUACCGUAAGAAUAAGCACCGGCUAACUACGUG
rnacentral:rRNA from 1 species